GCUGGCGGCGUGCCUAAUACAUGCAAGUCGAGCGAGCGGACGAGAAGCUUGCUUCUCUGAUGUUAGCGGCGGACGGGUGAGUAACACGUGGAUAACCUACCUAUAAGACUGGGAUAACUUCGGGAAACCGGAGCUAAUACCGGAUAAUAUUUUGAACCGCAUGGUUCAAAAGUGAAAGACGGUCUUGCUGUCACUUAUAGAUGGAUCCGCGCUGCAUUAGCUAGUUGGUAAGGUAACGGCUUACCAAGGCAACGAUGCAUAGCCGACCUGAGAGGGUGAUCGGCCACACUGGAACUGAGACACGGUCCAGACUCCUACGGGAGGCAGCAGUAGGGAAUCUUCCGCAAUGGGCGAAAGCCUGACGGAGCAACGCCGCGUGAGUGAUGAAGGUCUUCGGAUCGUAAAACUCUGUUAUUAGGGAAGAACAUAUGUGUAAGUAACUGUGCACAUCUUGACGGUACCUAAUCAGAAAGCCACGGCUAACUACGUGCCAGCAGCCGCGGUAAUACGUAGGUGGCAAGCGUUAUCCGGAAUUAUUGGGCGUAAAGCGCGCGUAGGCGGUUUUUUAAGUCUGAUGUGAAAGCCCACGGCUCAACCGUGGAGGGUCAUUGGAAACUGGAAAACUUGAGUGCAGAAGAGGAAAGUGGAAUUCCAUGUGUAGCGGUGAAAUGCGCAGAGAUAUGGAGGAACACCAGUGGCGAAGGCGACUUUCUGGUCUGUAACUGACGCUGAUGUGCGAAAGCG
rnacentral:rRNA from 1 species